GACGAACGCUGGCGGCGUGCUUAACACAUGCAAGUCGAACGGAAAGGCCCCAGCUUGCUGGGGUACUCGAGUGGCGAACGGGUGAGUAACACGUGGGUGAUCUGCCCUGCACUCUGGGAUAAGCUUGGGAAACUGGGGCUAAUACCGGAUAUGAACUGCUGUUACUGUGGUGGGUGGAGAGUUUUUUCGGUGUAGGAUGAGGUCGCGGCCUUUCGGCUUGUUGGGGGGGUAAUGGCCUACCAAGGCGUUGACGGGGGGCCGGGCUGUGAGGGGGUACGGCCACAUUGGGGCUGAGAGACGGCCCAGACACCUACGGGGGGCAGAAGAGGGGAAUAUUGCACAAUGGGCGGAGGCCUGAUGCGGAGAAGCCGCGUGGGGGAUGACGGCCCUCGGGUUGUAAAAUCCGUUCGACAGGGACGAAGCUUGUUGUGACGGUACCUGUAGAAGAAGCACCGGCUAACUACGUG
rnacentral:rRNA from 1 species